rnacentral:rRNA from 1 species
GACGAACGCUGGCGGCGUGCUUAACACAUGCAAGUCGAACGGAAAGGCCCUGCUUUUGUGGGGUGCUCGAGUGGCGAACGGGUGAGUAACACGUGAGUAACCUGCCCUUGACUUUGGGAUAACUUCAGGAAACUGGGGCUAAUACCGGAUAGGAGCUCCUGCUGCAUGGUGGGGGUUGGAAAGUUUCGGCGGUUGGGGAUGGACUCGCGACUUAUCAGCUUUUUGGUGGGGUAGUGGCUUACCAAGGCUUUGACGGGUAGCCGGCCUGAGAGGGUGACCGGCCACAUUGGGACUGAGAUACGGCCCAGACUCCUACGGGAGGCAGCAGUGGGGAAUAUUGCACAAUGGGCGGAAGCCUGAUGCAGCAACGCCGCGUGCGGGAUGACGGCCUUCGGGUUGUAAACCGCUUUCGCCUGUGACGAAGCGUGAGUGACGGUAAUGGGUAAAGAAGCACCGGCUAACUACGUG